AUGGCUCAGGACGAACGCUGGCGGCGUGCCUAACACAUGCAAGUCGAGCGAGGAGAUCCUUCGGGAUGAUCCUAGCGGCGGACGGGUGAGUAACACGUGGGCAACCUGCCUCAUAGAGAGGAAUAGCCUUCCGAAAGGGAGAUUAAUACCUCAUAACAUUGCAGUUUCGCAUGGAACAGCAAUUAAAGGAGCAAUCCACUAUGAGAUGGGCCCGCGGCGCAUUAGCUAGUUGGUGAGGUAACGGCUCACCAAGGCGACGAUGCGUAGCCGACCUGAGAGGGUGAUCGGCCACAUUGGGACUGAGACACGGCCCAGACUCCUACGGGAGGCAGCAGUGGGGAAUAUUGCACAAUGGGGGAAACCCUGAUGCCAGCAACGCCGCGUGAGUGAUGACGGCCUUCGGGUUGUAAAGCUCUGUCUUCAGGGACGAUAAUGACGGUACCUGAGGAGGAAGCCACGGCUAACUACGUGCCAGCCGCGGC
rnacentral:rRNA from 1 species